AGCGGCGUAAGGGGCAGUAAAGCGUGGGUCACGUACCUUCGGGACUGGGAUAGCCUCGAGAAAUCGAGGGUAAUACCAGAUGAUGCCGAGAGGCCAAAGGUGUGAAUCCGCCCAGAGAGCGGCUCACGUGGUAUUAGCUAGUUGGUGAGGUAAUGGCUCACCAAGGCUGAGAUGCCUAGCGGGUGUGAGAGCACGACCCGCGCCACUGACACUGAGACACUGGCCAGACACCUACGGGUGGCUGCAGUCGAGGAUCUUCGGCAAUGGGCGCAAGCCUGACCGAGCGACGCCGCGUGCGGGAUGAAGGCCUUCGGGUUGUAAACCGCUUUUAGGGGGGAUGAAGGGCUCCUGGGUACUCCCAGGGGUUACGCCUGACAAAUCCCCAGAAAAAGCACGGGCUAAGUUCGUGCCAGCAGCCGCGGUAAGACGAACCGUGCGAACGUUGUUCGGAAUCACUGGGCUUAAAGGGCGCGUAGGCGGUCCGCCAAGUCUGGGGUUAAAUCUCUCGGCUCAACCGAGAUAAUGCCUGGGAUACUGGCGGACUGGAGGGAUGUAGGGGCGAUCGGAACUUCCAGUGGAGCGGUGAAAUGCGUUGAUAUUGGAAGGAACGCCGGUGGCGAAAGCGGGUCGCUGGACAUCUUCUGACGCUGAGGCGCGAAAGCUAGGGGAGCGAACGGGAUUAGAUACCCCGGUAGUCCUA
rnacentral:rRNA from 1 species